CGGGCCAUCGUAUACCGGUAGUACACACGCUUCGGGUGCGUGUAGACUGGGUUCAAUUCCCAGUGGCCCGACCA
rnacentral:tRNA from 2 species